GCACUGGUGGUUCAGUGAUAGAAUUCUCACCUUCCAUGCAGGAGGCCUGGGCUCAAUUCCCGACCAAUGUA
rnacentral:tRNA from 1 species